rnacentral:lncRNA from 1 species
UUGGAUCUCAACCCCAGGGCUAGGUGCCUCCUCCCGCUGCUUUCCGCCAGGACUGGGCACCGCGGAUUAGGGGGCGGCGCUCGUCGGGCAGGCUCCGGCCGCGUAGGAGCCCAUGGCUGGGGCGCCGGCGGGCGGCUCAGUCAUGGCGGGCUGAAUAAAGUCUGACUGCCUGGUGGGCAGAUCACGAGGUCGGGAGAUCGAGACCAUCCUGGCUAACACGGUGAAACCCCGUCUCUACUAAAAAUACAAAAAAAAAAAAAUUAGCCGGGCGUGGUGGUGGGUGCCUGUAGUCUCACCUACUUGGGAGGCUGAGGCAGGAGAAUGGCGUGAACCUGGGAGGCGGAGCUUGCAGUGAGCAUGGAGAGUGAGGAGAUUUUACCUGAUAUGGUCCUGUUUGCACCGUCAGCCAGCAACCUUUCUGGGAAGCAUGCUUAUUAUGUACCAACAUAGAAGCUUGAAUAUAAGAAAACUUAAAAGCAAAUACAACAAAAACAAAUAUAAAUAGAUGAGACUUAAUUAAACUAAAAAAGCUUCUGCACAGAAAAAGAAAUAAUCAGCAGAGUAAACAACCCACAGAGUGGAAGAAAAUAUUUGCAAACUACGCAUCCAACAAAGGACUAAUAUGUAGAAUCUACCAGGAACUCAAACCAGCAAGAAAAAAACAAUUCCAUCAAAAAGAGGGUUAAGGACAUGAAUAGACAAUUCUUAAAAGAAGAUAUACAAAUGGCCAUCAAACAUGUGAGAAAAUGCUCAAUAUCACUAUCAGGGAAAUGCAAAUCAAAACCACAGAUACCACCUUACUUCUGCAAGAAUGUCCAAAAUUUAAAAAUCAAAAAACAAUAGAUGUUGGUGUGGAUGUGGUGAAAAGGAAACAC